rnacentral:rRNA from 2 species
GUCGAGCGGUAGCACAGAGAGCUUGCUCUCGGGUGACGAGCGGCGGACGGGUGAGUAAUGUGUGGGAAACUGCCUGAUGGGGGGGGAUAACUACUGGAAACGGUAGCUAAUACCGCAUAACGUCGCGAGAGCCAAGAGGGGGACCUUCUGGCCUCUUGCCAUCAGAUGUGCCCAGAUGGGAUUAGCUAGUAGGUGGGGUAACGGCUCACCUAUGCGACAAUCCCUAUCUGGGCUGAGAGGAUGACCAGCCACACUGGAACUGAGACACGGUCCAGACUCCUACGGGAGGCAGCAGUGGGGAAUAUUGCGCAAUGGGCGCAAGCCUGAUGCACCCAUGCCCCGUGUAUGAAAAAAGCCUUCUGGUUGUAAAGUACUUUCUCCGGGGAGGAAGGCGAUAAGGUUAAUAACCUUGUCGAUUGACGUUACCCGCAGAARAAGCACCGGCUAACUCCGUGCCAGCAGCCGCGGUAAUACAGAGGGUGCAAGCGUUAAUCUCAAUUACUGGGCGUAAAGCGCACGCAGGCGGUCUGUCAAGUCGGAUGUGAAAUCCCCGGGCUCAACCUGGGAACUGCAUUCGAAACUGGCAGGCUAGAGUCUUGUAGAGGGGGGUAGAAUUCCAGGUGUAGCGGUGAAAUGCGUAGAGAUCUGGAGGAAUACCGGUGGCGAAGGCGGCCCCCUGGACAAAGACUGACGCUCAGGUGCGAAAGCGUGGGG